rnacentral:rRNA from 1 species
AUUGAACGCUGGCGGCGGGCCUAACACAUGCAAGUCGAACGAGUGGCGGACGGGUGUGUAAUGCAUGGGAACCUGGCUGAUGGAGGGGGAUCACUACGGGAAACCGUAGCUAAUAGCGCAUACCCUCGGUUGUGCCAACGGGGGAUUAGGGAGUUGGUGGGGUAAAGGCUCACCUAGGCGACGAUCUCGAGCUGGCCUGAGAGGAUGAUCAGCCACACUGGGACGGAGACACGGCCCAGACUCCUACGGGAGGCAGCAGUGGGGAAUAUUGGACAAUGGGCGAAAGCCUGAUGCAGCCAUGCCGCGUGUAUGAAGAAGGCCUUAGGGUUGUAAAGUACUUUCAGCGGGGAGGCGUUACCCAGAGAGGAAGCACCGGCUAACUCCGUGCGAGCCGCCGCGGUAAUAC